UACGUAGGGGGCAAGCGUUAUCCGGAUUUACUGGGUGUAUAGGGAGCGUAGGCGGCGACGCAAGUCAGAAGUGAAAGCCCGGGGCUCAACUCCGGUUCGGCAUUGGAUACUGGCAAACUAGAAUGUGGUAGAGGUAAAGGGAAUUCCUGGUGUAGCGGUGAAAUGCGUAGAUAUCAGGAGGAACAUCGGUGGCGAAAGCGCUUUACUGGACCAUUAUUGACGCUGAGGAACGAAAGCCAGGGGAGCAAAUGGG
rnacentral:rRNA from 1 species